GUCUAGUAUAGCAUUAUACCGCGAAACUGCGAAUGGCUCAUUAUAUAAGUUAUCGUUUAUUUGAUAGUACCUUACUACUUGGAUAACCGUGGUAAUUCUAGAGCUAAUACAUGCUAAAAAUCCCGACUUCGGAAGGGAUGUAUUUAUUAGAUUAAAAACCAAUGCCCUUCGGGGCUCCUUGGUGAUUCAUGAUAACUUCUCGAAUCGCAUGGCCUUGUGCCGGCGAUGGUUCAUUCAAAUUUCUUCCCUAUCAACUUUCGAUGUUUGGGUCUUGGCCAAACAUGGUUGCAACGGGUAACGGAGGGUUAGGGCUCGACCCCGGAGAAGGAGCCUGAGAAACGGCUACUACAUCCAAGGAAGGCAGCAGGCGCGCAAAUUACCCAAUCCCGACUCGGGGAGGUAGUGACAAUAAAUACUGAUACAGGGCUCUUUUGGGUCUUGUAAUUGGAAUGAGUACAAUUUAAAUCCCUUAACGAGGAACAAUUGGAGGGCAAGUCUGGUGCCAGCAGCCGCGGUAAUUCCAGCUCCAAUAGCGUAUAUUAAAGUUGUUGUGGUUAAAAAGCUCGUAGUUGAACCUUGGGCCUGGCUGGCCGGUCCGCCUCACCGCGUGUACUGGUCCGGCCGGGCCUUUCCCUCUGUGGAACCCCAUGCCCUUCACUGGGUGUGGCGGGGAAACAGGACUUUUACUUUGAAAAAAUUAGAGUGCUCCAGGCAGGCCUAUGCUCGAAUACAUUAGCAUGGAAUAAUAGAAUAGGACGUGUGGUUCUAUUUUGUUGGUUUCUAGGACCGCCGUAAUGAUUAAUAGGGACAGUCGGGGGCAUCAGUAUUCAAUUGUCAGAGGUGAAAUUCUUGGAUUUAUUGAAGACUAACUACUGCGAAAGCAUUUGCCAAGGAUGUUUUCAUUAAUCAGGAACGAAAGUUAGGGGAUCGAAGACGAUCAGAUACCGUCGUAGUCUUAACCAUAAACUAUGCCGACUAGGGAUCGGACGAUGUUAUUUUUUGACUCGUUCGGCACCUUACGAGAAAUCAAAGUGCUGGC
rnacentral:rRNA from 1 species